rnacentral:rRNA from 1 species
CAUAGCGACUAUCGUGGCAUAUCAAUAAGCGGAGGAAAAGAAACUAACUAGGAUUCCCUCAGUAACGGCGAGUGAAGCGGGAAGAGCUCAAAUUUGAAAUCUUCAAGGUUCUACCUUGACGAAUUGUAGUUUAAAGAAGUGUUUUCUGUUGGAGUUUUGGUAAAAGUUCUUUGGAAUAGGACAUCAUAGAGGGUGAGAAUCCCGUAUUUGACCAUUUCUUCCAGCUGUGUGAUACACUUUCAAAGAGUCGGAUUGUUUGGGAAUGCAGUCCAAAAUGGGUGGUAAAUUUCAUCUAAAGCUAAAUAUUGGCGAGAGACCGAUAGCGAACAAGUACCGUGAGGGAAAGAUGAAAAGAACUUUGAAAAGAGAGUUAAACAGUACGUGAAAUUGUCAAAAGGGAAGCGUUUGACACCAGUGUUGUUUAGUUGAAAAUCAAUUCAAUAAUUUUUGAUUUUGAGUAGUAUUGACUUCAUCAGCUUGCUGCUUUCUUUUCAGAAAUUAUUGAAUGCACUUUUCAGUUAACAAGUCAACAUCAAUUUCUUUUGUUGUAAAAGGGUAAGAGGAAGGUGGCUUACGCUUCGGCGUAAGUGUUUAUAGCCUUUGAUCUCUGCAACCGGAGAGAUUGAGGUCUGCAGCGUAGACUCCUUCGGGGUUAGAUACAUUUGUGCUAAGCUAUAGUUCUUUAUAGACAACUUGUUGACUAUAUCUAGUCCUGUAGGCUUACUCGCUUAUGCUAUUUUACCUACGCUUAGGAUGUUGAUAUGCAUGACUGAUAU